rnacentral:rRNA from 1 species
GAUGAACGCUGGCGGCGUGCCUAAUACAUGCAAGUCGAGCGAACAGACGAGGAGCUUGCUCCUUUGACGUUAGCGGCGGACGGGUGAGUAACACGUAGGUAACCUACCUAUAAGACUGGGAUAACUUCGGGAAACCGGAGCUAAUACCGGAUAAUAUUUCGAACCGCAUGGUUCGAUAGUGAAAGAUGGCUUUGCUAUCACUUAUAGAUGGACCUGCGCCGUAUUAGCUAGUUGGUAAGGUAACGGCUUACCAAGGCAACGAUACGUAGCCGACCUGAGAGGGUGAGCGGCCACACUGGAACUGGGAACCGGUCCAGACUCCUACGGGGGGCAGCAGUAGGGAAUCUUCCGCAAUGGGCGAAAGCCUGACGGAGCAACGCCGCGUGAGUGAUGAAGGUCUUCGGAUCGUAAAACUCUGUUAUUAGGGAAGAACAAACGUGUAAGUAACUGUGCACGUCUUGACGGUACCUAAUCAGAAAGCCACGGCUAACUACGUG